GUUAAUUUUUACAUAUAUUUACUGUGUUUAUUUCCUAUUUUUAAAUUCAAAAACAUUUUCCGUAUCUUUGCAGAAUGAAGAUGGUGGUUUUGCAACAUAUGAGCUUAAACGAUCUUAUAAUUGGUUGGAGUUAAUCAAUCCGGCUGAAACAUUUGGUGACAUCGUUAUGAUUAUCCUUAUGUGGAAUGUACAUCAGCAGCAAUCAAGCUGGCAUCAUUUAGGAAAUAUAUCCUGGACAUCGCCGAGAAGAAAUACAAUGUUGUAUAGAGAAAUCUGCUGCCUUCAUUGAAAAUAUACAAGCUUCAGAUGGCUCAUGGUAUGGUUCUUGGGGAGUUUGCUUCACUUGUGCUUGUUUGGGGUAAAAGGAUUGAUGCUGCUGGAAGAGUUUCAGUAAUUGCCCAAGCAUCCGGAAAGCUUGUGAAUUUCUGCUGUCCAAGCAGCUUCCUUCCGGUGGCUGGGGAGAGAGCUAUCUGUCCUGUCAAAACAA